GACGAACGCUGGCGGCGUGCUUAACACAUGCAAGUCGAACGGAAAGGCCCUUCGGGGUACUCGAGUGGCGAACGGGUGAGUAACACGUGAGUAACCUGCCCCCUUCUUUGGGAUAACCGCCGGAAACGGUGGCUAAUACCGGAUACACACAUCGUGUCGCAUGGCGUGGUGUGGAAAGUUUUUCGGUGGGGGAUGGGCUCGCGGCCUAUCAGCUUGUUGGUGGGGUGAUGGCCUACCAAGGCUUUGACGGGUAGCCGGCCUGAGAGGGCGACCGGCCACACUGGGACUGAGACACGGCCCAGACUCCUACGGGAGGCAGCAGUGGGGAAUAUUGCACAAUGGGCGGAAGCCUGAUGCAGCGACGCCGCGUGAGGGAUGACGGCCUUCGGGUUGUAAACCUCUUUCAGCAGGGACGAAGCGAAAGUGACGGUACCUGCAGAAGAAGCGCCGGCCAACUACGUGCCAGCAGCCGCAGUAAAAC
rnacentral:rRNA from 1 species